rnacentral:rRNA from 1 species
AAAUUGAAGAGUUUGAUCAUGGCUCAGAUUGAACGCUGGCGGCAGGCCUAACACAUGCAAGUCGAGCGGUAGCACAGAGAGCUUGCUCUCGGGUGACGAGCGGCGGACGGGUGAGUAAUGUCUGGGAAACUGCCUGAUGGAGGGGGAUAACUACUGGAAACGGUAGCUAAUACCGCAUAACGUCGCAAGACCAAAGUGGGGGACUUUCGGGCCUCAUGCCAUCAGAUGUGCCCAGAUGGGAUUAGCUAGUAGGUGGGGUAACGGCUCACCUAGGCGACGAUCCCUAGCUGGUCUGAGAGGAUGACCAGCCACACUGGAACUGAGACACGGUCCAGACUCCUACGGGAGGCAGCAGUGGGGAAUAUUGCACAAUGGGCGCAAGCCUGAUGCAGCCAUGCCGCGUGUAUGAAGAAGGCCUUCGGGUUGUAAAGUACUUUCAGCGGGGAGGAAGGCGAUAAGGUUAAUAACCUUGUCGAUUGACGUUACCCGCAGAAGAAGCACCGGCUAACUCCGUGCCAGCAGCCGCGGUAAUACGGAGGGUGCAAGCGUUAAUCGGAAUUACUGGGCGUAAAGCGCACGCAGGCGGUCUGUCAAGUCGGAUGUGAAAUCCCCGGGCUCAACCUGGGAACUGCAUUCGAAACUGGCAGGCUAGAGUCUUGUAGAGGGGGGUAGAAUUCCAGGUGUAGCGGUGAAAUGCGUAGAGAUCUGGAGGAAUACCGGUGGCGAAGGCGGCCCCCUGGACAAAGACUGACGCUCAGGUGCGAAAGCGUGGGGAGCAAACAGGAUUAGAUACCCUGGUAGUCCACGCCGUAAACGAUGUCGAUUUGGAGGUUGUGCCCUUGAGGCGUGGCUUCCGGAGCUAACGCGUUAAAUCGACCGCCUGGGGAGUACGGCCGCAAGGUUAAAACUCAAAUGAAUUGACGGGGGCCCGCACAAGCGGUGGAGCAUGUGGUUUAAUUCGAUGCAACGCGAAGAACCUUACCUGGUCUUGACAUCCACAGAACUUAGCAGAGAUGCUUUGGUGCCUUCGGGAACUGUGAGACAGGUGCUGCAUGGCUGUCGUCAGCUCGUGUUGUGAAAUGUUGGGUUAAGUCCCGCAACGAGCGCAACCCUUAUCCUUUGUUGCCAGCGGUUCGGCCGGGAACUCAAAGGAGACUGCCAGUGAUAAACUGGAGGAAGGUGGGGAUGACGUCAAGUCAUCAUGGCCCUUACGACCAGGGCUACACACGUGCUACAAUGGCAUAUACAAAGAGAAGCGACCUCGCGAGAGCAAGCGGACCUCAUAAAGUAUGUCGUAGUCCGGAUUGGAGUCUGCAACUCGACUCCAUGAAGUCGGAAUCGCUAGUAAUCGUAGAUCAGAAUGCUACGGUGAAUACGUUCCCGGGCCUUGUACACACCGCCCGUCACACCAUGGGAGUGGGUUGCAAAAGAAGUAGGUAGCUUAACCUUCGGGAGGGCGCUUACCACUUUGUGAUUCAUGACUGGGGUGAAGUCGUAACAAGGUAACCGUAGGGGAACCUGCGGUUGGAUCACCUCCUUA